rnacentral:rRNA from 1 species
GACAGAGGGUGCGAACGUUGUUCGGAAUUACUGGGCGUAAAGGGCGCGUAGGCGGCGGGGUAAGUCUGGUGUGAAAUCUCGGAGCUCAACUCCGAAAUUGCACUGGAUACUGCUCUGCUAGAGGACUGGAGAGGAGACUGGAAUUUACGGUGUAGCGGUGAAAUGCGUAGAUAUCGUAAGGAAGACCAGUGGCGAAGGCGGGUCUCUGGACAGUUCCUGACGCUGAGGCACGAAGGCCAGGGGAGCAAACGGG